UUAUGUUAGCUGCACAUAUAUUAAAAUUGGAAUGAUACAAAGAAGAUUAAUAUGGCCACCAGUGCAAAGAAGAUACACAGAUUUAUUUAAUGUUACAUGUUUGG
rnacentral:snRNA from 1 species